rnacentral:rRNA from 1 species
GGCGGCGUGCUUAACACAUGCAAGUCGAGCGGAAAGGCCCCUUCGGGGGUACUCGAGCGGCGAACGGGUGAGUAACACGUGAGCAACCUGCCCCUGACUCGGGAUAAGCCUGGGAAACUGGGUCUAAUACCGGAUACGACCAUUCUGCGCAUGUGGGGUGGUGGAAAGUUUUUCGGUUGGGGAUGGGCUCGCGGCCUAUCAGCUUGUUGGUGGGGUGAUGGCCUACCAAGGCGACGACGGGUAACCGGCCUGAGAGGGCGACCGGUCACACUGGGACUGAGACACGGCCCAGACUCCUACGGGAGGCAGCAGUGGGGAAUAUUGCGCAAUGGGCGGAAGCCUGACGCAGCGACGCCGCGUGAGGGAUGACGGCCUUCGGGUUGUAAACCUCUUUCAGCAGGGACGAAGCUAACGUGACGGUACCUGCAGAAGAAGCGCCGGCUAACUACGUGCCAGCAGCCGCGGUAAUACGUAGGGCGCAAGCGUUGUCCGGAAUUAUUGGGCGUAAAGAGCUCGUAGGCGGUUUGUCGCGUCUGUCGUGAAAGCCCACGGCUUAACCGUGGGUCUGCGGUGGAUACGGGCAGACUAGAGGCAGGUAGGGGAGAAUGGAAUUCCCGGUGUAGCGGUGAAAUGCGCAGAUAUCGGGAGGAACACCGGUGGCGAAGGCGGUUCUCUGGGCCUGUACUGACGCUGAGGAGCGAAAGCGUGGGGAGCGAACAGGAUUAGAUACCCUGGUAGUCCACGCCGUAAACGUUGGGCGCUAGGUGUGGGGUUCUUCCACGGAUUCCGCGCCGUAGCUAACGCAUUAAGCGCCCCGCCUGGGGAGUACGGCCGC